UACAGAGGUCUCAAGCGUUGUUCGGAUUCAUUGGGCGUAAAGGGCGCGUAGGCGGUCUCGUAAGUCUGCGGUGAAAUCCUCCAGCUCAACUGGAGAACGGCCGUGGAUACUGCGAGUCUCGAGGGAGGUAGGGGCGUGCGGAACAGAUGGUGGAGCGGUGAAAUGCGUUGAUAUCAUCUGGAACUCCGGUGGCGAAGGCGGCACGCUGGACCUCUUCUGACGCUGAGGCGCGAAAGCCAGGGGAGCAAACGGG
rnacentral:rRNA from 1 species